rnacentral:rRNA from 1 species
GACGAACGCUGGCGGUGUGCUUAACACAUGCAAGUCGAACGGUAAGGCCCUUUCGGGGGUACACGAGUGGCGAACGGGUGAGUAACACGUGAGUAACCUGCCCUCAUCUCUGGGAUAACAGUCGGAAACGGUUGCUAAUACUGGAUAUGAGCUUGCAAGGCAUCUUGUGGGUUGGAAAGAUUUUUUUUGGUUGGGGAUGGACUCGCGGCCUAUCAGCUUGUUGGUGAGGUAGUGGCUCACCAAGGCUUCGACGGGUAGCCGGCCUGAGAGGGCGACCGGCCACAUUAGACCUGAGAGACGGCCCAAACUCGUGCGGGAGGCAGCAGGGGGGAAUAUUGCACAAUGGACGGAAGUCUGAUGCAGCAACGCCGCGUGCGGGAUGACGGCCUUCGGGUUGUAAACCGCUUUCAAUUGUGACGAAGCUUUUUUGUGACGGUAGCAGUAGAAGAAGCACCGGCUAACUACGUG